rnacentral:rRNA from 1 species
UACAGAGGGUGCGAGCGUUGUCCGGAAUCACUGGGCGUAAAGGGCGCGUAGGUGGCGACCCAAGUCCAUGGUGAAAGCUCGAUGCUCAACAUCGAGUCGGCCACGGAUACUGGGUUGCUGGAGCACUGUAGAGGCAGAUGGAAUUCCGGGUGUAGCGGUGAAAUGCGUAGAUAUCAGGAGGAACACCUGUGGCGAAAGCGGCUCACUGGACCAUUACUGACGCUGAGGCGCGAAAGCUAGGGGAGCAAACAGG